GGGGGAAUAGAUGCAAGAGCGAUAAGGGCAAAAGAACCAAUUAAUUUCUAGUAUCCUUGCUGCCGAGGUGAGCACAGAACCACUAAUUUCUGCUAAGCACAGUGGGACCCAUGGGGAGUGGGGAGUGGAAAGGAGUGGAGGGAGAAAUCAAUACUUCCAGCCAACAAGACAGUAAAAUUAACAAGCUGGGAAGCUGGGUCCUCUCUCACAAGCCACAGGUCCAACAGCUGUGAAGAACAACUAAAUAGAACACUCUGCUCCAGGGAUGGGAGGGUAGCGUUUGUUCUGUGGUUUCAGCACACAUGAAUCUGGAUCCUGCCACUCAGAUAACUCAUCUGCAUUUCAGGAGCUGAGAACCCUACUAGGUGCUUUGUGUCUGUGCUGCACAACAAAGGUCCCAGCAUCGGGGUGUGUGUUUUUCUGAGAUUUGCACUGUUCCCACCACAGAUUUCAGGGUCCCUAAUCCCUUCAAUGUAAGCUGCAGCAGUUCUCCCAAGGGUGCCGGUGUGGGUUAACUAUUAUUUCUACAGCUAUCUGUCUAUAUUUGUGUAUAUUUGUCCUUUUUUUACAGGUCCUAUCUUCUCUUCAUUUCCAAGUCAUACAUAUACCUAUUAUUACAUCUAAAUGUCCCUCCCUCUUUCCUCCUCUCUCUCCACAGCCUGGUGCAGUUGGAGUUCAGAGCCCUCUGGUCAUUCUUCUCCUACCUUUCUUCCCAACUGGAAGUAUGGAUCAAAAUUAUUUUGGGGGUGCAGAAGGUGGGAGUUCUGUCUUUUGUAAUUGCUUUCUCUGCUGAACAUGGGUGUUAGCAAGUUGAUCCAUACCCCCUUUGUAAAUUUCUUUUUUUAUUUUUAAUUUCUUUAUUAGGGGAUUAAUGGUUUGCAGUCAACAGUAAAAUACAAUAGUCUAUACAUGCGCAACAUUUCCCAGUUUUCCACACAAUGAAAUUUCUAUAAUUGUAUCAUUAAUGUGUAUUUCACACUUUGGACCAUUCUUUUUGGCUGUACCAUAUACAGCAGUAUGAAGAUUUUAUCUAAGUCAGUGCCAUCAAAACACACACAUUGGUUUUGUUUUGACAAGAUUUCUGGUUUGUUUUUCUAGGUUUUUUUUUUUUUUUUUUUUUUUUUAAGCAGGAAGAGGAUGUGACACUGGAUUGUGUGGUAGGCAGAAUAAGCAGGAAGAUUAGAGUGAAUAGGAUUUCAGUUUUGAAACUGCUGAGUUUGAAGUGCCAUUGAUAAAUACAGGUAAGCUGUAUCUUAAAAGCACUUAGGAAACAGGAAAAUGAAAACCAGCUGCAUUAUCCAGAACAUCCAGAAAGUGGAAGCAAACCAGAUGUCUACUGACAAAGGACAGAACACUAAAUGUGGCACACACAGGGCAUAGAAUAGUAGCUCUAAGAAGGAAAGACAGACUGGUGCCCAACAUAAGCACAAUGCAAACACGGUAGUUUGAGAAGAAAUAUUCAAGAAGUGAUGAUUUGACAACCAUGUGAAUGUCAUGGACACUGCAUUGUACAGUUAAAAAUGGUAGCAGGGCUGUCUUUCAUGUGGUGUAAUUUUACUUCAGAAAAGGGGGAGUUGGGCGAUACCGCAGCAGGUUAAGUGCAGGUGGCGUGAAGCACAAGGACCGACGUUAAGGAUCCCAGUUCAAGCCCCCGGCUCCCCACCUGCAGGGGAGUCACUUCACAGGCAGUGAAGCAGGUCUGCAGGUGUCUAUCUUUCUCUCCUCCCUCUGUCUUCCCCAUCUCUCGUCAUUUCUCUUUGUCCUAUCCAACAAUGACAACAUCAAUAACUACAAAAAUAAAAUAAAGACAACAAAAGGGAAUAAAAUAAAUACUUUUAAAAAAUUAGAAAAGGGGGCUGGGUGGUGGUGCACUGAUUGAGCAGGUGUUACAUUGUGCAAGGAGCUGGGUUCAAGCCCCCAGUCCCCACCUGCAGGAGGCAAGCCUUGGGAGCUUGGGAGUGGGGAAGCAGUGUUGCAGGUGUCUUCUCCCUCUCUCUCUUUUUUUUCAUUUUCCUUCAGGGCUACUGCUGGGGCUUGGUGCCUGCACUAUGAAUCCACUAUUCCUGGUGGCCAUUUUUUCCCUUUUUUUUUUUUGGAUAGGACAGAGAGAAACUGAAAGGGAAGGGGAAGAUAGAGAGGGAGAGAGAAAGAUAGACACCUGCAGACCUGCUUCACUGUUUAUGAAGUGACCCCUCCCCCCUGCAGGUGAGGAGCCAGGGGCUCGAACUGGAAUUCCUGUCCGGGUCCUUGUGCUUCGUACUAUGUGUACUUAGCCCAGUGCACCACUGCCCAGCCUCAUCUCUCUCUUCUAUCACCUCUUUCUCUUUCAAUUUCUGGCUGUUGUCUAUUCAGUAAAUAAAGAUGAUUCUUAAAAUUUAAAAAAAAAAAUCAGAAAAGAAAAAGACAAAAGCAAUGUGUCCCAAGGUAGCCCGACAAGCAGCCGGGAAAAUCCCAAGAGUGAAGUGAGACUCAGCAGACUGGAGUCACAGCCACUUGUCGGUCAUUAUCCUCCUGGGGUUAACCUUCGAGUUUAACCGUAUUAAAUAAAGCUGCUUCUCCUUACUGCACGGAGACCAGUUAGCACACCUGCUAUCACGUGACCUUCCCUUUCUUUCUUUCCUUCUUUUUUUAUUUAAUUUUUUAUUUAUAAAAAGGAAACAUUGUGGUCCGGGAGGUGGUGCAGUGAUGAGGCUUUGGACUCUCAAGCAUGAGGUCCCGAGUUCGAGCCCCGGCAGCACAUGUGCCAGAGUGAUGUCUGGUUCUUUCUCUCUUCUCCUAUCUUUCUCAUAAUAAAUAAAUAAAAUCUUAAAAAAAAAAAAAGGGAAACAUUGACUAAACCACAGGAUAAGAGGGGUACAACUUCACACAACUCCCCCCACCAGAACUCUGUAUCCCACCCCCUCCCCUCCCCUGAUAGCUUCCCUAUUCCUUAUCCCUCUGGGAGUAUGGACCCAGGGUCAUUGUGGGAUGCGGAAGGUGGAAGGUCAGGCUUCUGUAAUUGCUUCCCCGCUGGUGACCUUCCCUUUCUGUAGUACACACAGGUACCAUGCAAACACACUCACAUGUGCAGGCUCGUUCAUGAAUGUGUUUGAAAAGCCUCACUUCCCUCAUCCCUU